CAAAAACCAUUGACUGGGUGGCUCAAACAACAGAAGUGUAUUGUCUCACAGUUCUGGAGGCCAGAAGUCCGAGAUCAAGAGGUGGGCAUGGCUGGCUCCUUCUGAAGGCUGAAGGGAGAAUCUGUUCCAGGCCUCUCUCCUAACUUCUGAACUUCUGGGGCAUCUGCUGAAUAUGAUUUGGAAACCGCUGAUCCAGUCCAACAGGAUGCACGGAAACAGCCUGUGUGCAGCCAGGAGCCGAUGACAAGUCCAGCCUCACAGAGAGCCUGGGCCUGUCCCAGCAGAGGACUCCCCACCACCCCAUCUUCCACUCUGGAAACGGUGGGCCCCCCAUCUGCAAAGCAGUUCCAUCUCCUCCAUCCCUGCACCCCAAAACAAACAAACAAACAAAAUGUGGGAGUUAAAGCGGGGUUGAAGAUCCCAUCUGGGCAUUA
rnacentral:lncRNA from 1 species